rnacentral:rRNA from 1 species
UUAGUAACUGCGAGUGAAGAGGGAAAAGCUCAAAUUUAAAAUCUGGCAGCAUUUUGCUGUCCGAGUUGUAACCUAGAGAAGUGUAACCUGUGCUGGACCGUGUAUAAGUUUCCUGGAAUGGAGCAUCACAGAGGGUGAGAAUCCCGUCUUUGACAUGGACUACCAGUGCAUUGUGGUUGUGCUCUCAACGAGUCGAGUUGUUUGGGAAUGCAGCUCUAAAUGGGUGGUAAAUUCCAUCUAAAGCUAAAUAUUGGCGAGAGACCGAUAGCGAACAAGUACCGUGAGGGAAAGAUGAAAAGAACUUUGGAAAGAGAGUUAAACAGUAUGUGAAAUUGUUGAAAGGGAAACGUUUGAAGUCAGUCGCGUUAGCUGGGGAUCAGCCUGACAUUGUUGGGUGCACUUCCUGGUUGACGGGCCAACAUCAGUUUUGACUGCCAGAAAAAGGCCAAGGGAAUGUGGCACCUUUGGGUGUGUUAUAGCCUUUGGUCAUAUAUGGUGGUUGGGACUGAGGAACGCAGUGUGCCGAAAGGCCGGGUUUCGACCACGUUCACACUGAGGAUGUUGGCAUAAUGGCUUUAAGCGACCCGUCUUGAAACACGGACCAAGGAGUCUAACAUGCAUGCGAGUGUUUGGGUGGAAAACCCUUACGCGUAAUGAAAGUGAAAGUUGAGAUCCCUGUCGUGGGGAGCAUCGACGCCCGGACCAGAACUUUUGGGACGGAUCUGCGGUAGAGCACGUAUGUUGGGACCCGAAAGAUGGUGAACUAUGCCUGAAUAGGGUGAAGCCAGAGGAAACUCUGGUGGAGGCUCGUAGCGAUUCUGACGUGCAAAUCGAUCGUCAAAUUUGGGUAUAGGGGCGAAAGACUAAUCG